UCUCCUUUUUCUGCAUCAUUUUGUUUUUGCUUACUGUUUUUUUUUGGGGACCUCAAUGGCCAUGACAAUGAUAAACAUGUAACUAGUAAACCAUGAAAUUCUUUAUCUCACCCACUCCUACCAUACAGUGUGUAUAUAUUGUUUGGUUAGGAAGUAGGGAGAUAAGGCGCCUAACAUCUAAAUGCCUUUUUUCUUUUUCUUUUUCAUAAAUUUGUUGAUCAGAGCAAAAGAAACACUUAUAUGAAACAGUAUAUAUUAUUUGGUUUAUGAAGUAGGAAGAUGAGACGCCUACAUCUAAAUAUCUUAUUUAAGUACUUUGAUCAUAGCAAGAGAAACACUUAUAUGAAACAAUUUAUGUAAUUUCUUUAUUUAUCUUCCUCUAAUCAUCUGAUAAGAGAGAUCGGUAGCAAAAUAUAAUAACAAAUGCUCUAUUAUCUAAUAAUUUCAAUACGAUAAUUUUCGUUCUAAAUAAGUAAGCAUGUCUUAAACUGAAUUACAGGUUAGUAGUUGCUUACAUUCUCAAUCCCUCUUGUCCUCACGAGGGUUAGUAUAACUUUAAUUACCUUUCUCUGGCACCCUUGCCCAUAGUAUUAAGAUUCCUAAAUUAUAUUUCUUGGCAUAAACAAAUAAAGAGAAGGAAGUGAGUAGACCCCACAAACUGCACCGCUUGUGACUGUGUGCUUGGCCUUCCUUAUGAGUGAAACCCUUGUUAGUUAUAUUCAUCUUAUUUAUACACUGCUUUGCUUCUCCUUCCGUUUUUUAUUCAGAACACACACACUCACCACCCACAAGCCAAAAUCCAGAAGCUAAUAGAGAAGAGAAACAAUGAAGCAGAUGAAGAAUUACCAAAACUUUCUCAUAUUUUCUAUCUUUAUUUUUCUUCUUCUCUCCAACCCAUCAUCUGCUCGUGCUCGUCUUCAGCAGCAAAACAAAGCUUCACUAACUGGAAGCAAUGAUCCCGUAAAUCUGAUGGGAUCAGAAGAAUGCGAUGAGAAAGAUGAAGAGUGUCUGCAGAGAAGGAUGAUUGCUGAAGCUCACUUGGAUUAUAUUUACACCCAAAACCAUAAGCCAUAGACUUCGGAUUUUCGUAUAUAAGUUGUAUAAGAAAUAAUAAAUAAUUGUUUGUUUUUCUUUUUUGGUGCAAGCAAAAGCAUAUUAAGUAAGAAAAUAUAGUAUCAAGUAUCAACGUUGCCGAUUACUGAUUCCUCCUCCAUUAUUGAGAUGAAUUUUUGUGUCAGAAAGUGAUUUUCACACUUUCUUUUUCUUA